UGAGGAAUAUUGGUCAAUGGGUGCAAGCCUGAACCAGCCAUCCCGCGUGAAGGAUUAAGGUCCUAUGGAUUGUAAACUUCUUUUGUAUAGGGAUAAACCUUUCCACGUGUGGAAAGCUGAAGGUACUAUACGAAUAAGCACCGGCUAACUCCGUGCCAGCAGCCGCGGUAAUACGGAGGGUGCAAGCGUUAUCCGGAUUUAUUGGGUUUAAAGGGUCCGUAGGCGGACUUAUAAGUCAGUGGUGAAAUCCUGUCGCUUAACGAUAGAACUGCCAUUGAUACUGUAAGUCUUGAGUAUAUUUGAGGUAGCUGGAAUAAGUAGUGUAGCGGUGAAAUGCAUAGAUAUUACUUAGAACACCAAUUGCGAAGGCAGGUUACCAAGAUAUAACUGACGCUGAGGG
rnacentral:rRNA from 1 species